rnacentral:rRNA from 1 species
AGAGUUUGAUCCUGGCUCAGAUUGAACGCUGGCGGCAUGCCUUACACAUGCAAGUCGAACGGUAGAGUAGCAAUACUCGAGAGUGGCGAACGGGUGAGUAAUAUAUCGGAACGUGCCCAACUGUGGGGGAUAACGUAGAGAAAUUUACGCUAAUACCGCAUACGAUCUAAGGAUGAAAGCGGGGGAUCGCAAGACCUCGCGCAGUUGGAGCGGCUGAUAUCAGAUUAGCUUGUUGGUGAGGUAAAAGCUCACCAAGGCGACGAUCUGUAGCUGGUUUGAGAGAACGACCAGCCACACUGGGACUGAGACACGGCCCAGACUCCUACGGGAGGCAGCAGUGGGGAAUUUUGGACAAUGGGCGAAAGCCUGAUCCAGCAAUGCCGCGUGCAGGAAGAAGGCCUUCGGGUUGUAAACUGCUUUUGUACGGAACGAAACGGUCCGCUUUAAUA